ensembl:snoRNA
UUGUACUGGCUUGCGCUUCCCCUGUGCUCAGCUGCUCCAGGGUAGUGUGGCAGCACACACAGCAAUAUCCCUCUCUGUUUAGUAAGGUCAGCCUGAGAAUAGGGCUGGCUCCUAUAGGCACAAGAGGAUAAC